rnacentral:rRNA from 1 species
GAAGAACGCUGGCGGCAGGCCUAAAACAUGCAAGUCGAACGGGUGUAGCAAUACAUCAGUGGCGCACGGGUGAGUAACGCGUGGGAACGUGCCCUUCAGUACGGGACAACGUCGGGAAACUGACGCUAAUACCGUAUAAUAUCUCCGGAUCAAAGAUUUAUCGCUGAAGGAUCGGCCCGCGUCUGAUUAGUUUGUUGGUGAGGUAACGGCUCACCAAGACUACGAUCAGUAGCUGGUCUGAGAGGAUGAUCAGCCACACUGGGACUGAGACACGGCCCAGACUCCUACGGGAGGCAGCAGUUAGGAAUAUUGGACAAUGGGGGAAACCCUGAUCCAGCCAUGCCGCGUGUGUGAUGAAGGCCUUAGGGUUGUAAAGCACUUUCGUUGGGGAUGAUAAUGACCGUACCCAAAGAAGAAGCCACGGCUAAAUUCGUG